rnacentral:rRNA from 1 species
AUUGAACGCUGGCGGCAUGCCUUACACAUGCAAGUCGAACGGUAACGCGGGGCAACCUGGCGACGAGUGGCGAACGGGUGAGUAAUGCAUCGGAACGUGCCCAGUAGUGGGGGAUAGCCCGGCGAAAGCCGGAUUAAUACCGCAUACGACCUACGGGUGAAAGCGGGGGACCGUAAGGCCUCGCGCUAUUGGAGCGGGCGAUGUCAGAUUAGGUUGUGGGUGGGGUAAAAGCCUACCAAGCCGUCGAUCUGAAGCUGGUCUGAGAGGACGACCAGCCAAACUGGGACUGAGACACGGCCCAGAGUCCGACGGGAGGCAGCAUUGGGGAAUUUGGGACAAUGGCGGCAAGCCUGAUCCAGCCAUGCCUCGUGCGGGAAAAAGGCCUUCGGGUUGUAAACCGCUUUUGUUAGGGAAGAAACGCUCUGGGCUAAUACCCCGGGGUAAUGACGGUACCUGAAGAAUAAGCACCGGCUAACUACGUGCCAGCCGCCGCGGUAAGAC